GACAGAGGGUGCAAACGUUGUUCGGAAUUACUGGGCGUAAAGCGCGUGUAGGCGGCCCUGCAAGUCGGGUGUGAAAUCCCACGGCUCAACUGUGGAAGUGCACUCGAAACUGCAGGGCUAGAGUCCUGGAGAGGAAGGUGGAAUGCUUGGUGUAGAGGUGAAAUUCGUAGAUAUCAAGCGGAACACCGGUGGCGAAGGCGGCCUUCUGGACAGUGACGUGACGCUGAGACGCGAAAGCGUGGGGAGCAAACAGG
rnacentral:rRNA from 1 species